rnacentral:rRNA from 1 species
UACGGAGGGUGCUAGCGUUGUUCGGAAUCACUGGCGUAAAGGGCGUGUAGGCGGUCUGUUAAGUCUGAUGUGAAAUCCCCUCGCUCAACGAGGGAACUGCGUCGGAUACUGGCAGACUCGAGUACCGGAGAGGUUGGUGGAAUUCUCGGUGUAGAGGUGAAAUUCGUAGAUAUCGAGAGGAACACCGGUGGCGAAGGCGGCCAACUGGACGAAUACUGACGCUGAGACUCGAAGCGUGGGAGCAACA